GCAGCGCCGGCUAGCCACGGAGUUCCCAGGGUUCCCUGCAGUCCGAAGAAUUGAUUCCGACUCAUCGAACGUCUCACAUCUCUAACUUGACGAUUACCAUCACAAAUCAAAACAAAACAAAAGUGUAUUUACAUCAAAAGCUGAGAAAAUUGGACGAAAUUGGUUGCUUGGGUGUAAUUGCCACGACGCACCCACCCUUCCUUGGGUGUCCCAAAGCUAAUGUUGGAGGCACACUCCAUCUCCGACAGACCGGAGUCUAUUCCUGGUGGAUUAGGAUCGGCUCAUCUCCCCGCCCAAGCAACACUUAAGGCCGAUCUCAGACCGUCGCCCAGAUGAGAAGUUGUCAAAGCGACAACAACUGAAGGAAAAUUUUUAGACGCUGAAAAUUAUAAGUGUUUGGCAAAGUCGCCACGGAUGUGAAGUAUACGGCACCAAUUUGGAGGCGUUUGCCCACCCGGGUCACCUAAUCCUGAGGAGCUCCAAGGGAAAAGAAGGGACGUGCUGAAAAGACGUUGUUGGUCGCGUGGCUAGGGUGCGGCAUUAAGCCUCUAAUUCCAGAUUAUAUUUCACAAGUUUAACGAUGGUUAUAGUCCAGCCUGGUCGAAGCUGCCGCAAGAAGAAAACACCGCUAGCGGCGAAAACCAGCGCGAGUCCGCACGGAGCCAAAUGGUCCGGAGGGUAGCUCGCGUCUGCGCCAGAGGAGCUGGAGACAGUGCGUCGGUGGUCCCAGAGAUGACCACGUAGUCAGCGCGAGUAUUCAUUCCCGGAACGGACUCACCGAGGGAAUGCUGAUGCCGCUGCUGAUGUUGCUGCGGCUGCGGCUGAUGCUGAUCGCUGCUGCUUCUGCGGCUGAUGAUGCUGAUCGCUGCUACAGCUGGUGGACGACGUGGUCU